rnacentral:rRNA from 1 species
CCUACGGGAGGCUGCAGUGAGGAAUAUUGGUCAAUGGACGAGAGUCUGAACCAGCCAAGUAGCGUGAAGGAUGACUGCCCUAUGGGUUGUAAACUUCUUUUAUAAAGGAAUAAAACGAGGCACGUGUGCCUUUUUGCAUGUACUUUAUGAAUAAGGAUCGGCUAACUCCGUGCCAGCAGCCGCGGUAAUACGGAGGAUCCGAGCGUUAUCCGGAUUUAUUGGGUUUAAAGGGAGCGUAGAUGGGUUGUUAAGUCAGUUGUGAAAGUUUGCGGCUUAACCGUAAAAUUGCAAUUGAUACUGGCAGUCUUGAGUACAGUUGAGGUAGGCGGAAUUCGUGGUGUAGCGGUGAAAUGCUUAGAUAUCACGAAGAACCCCGAUUGGGAAGGCAGCUUACUAAACUGUGACUGACAUUGAUGCUCGAAAGUGUGGGGAUCAAACAGGAUUAGAUACCCCUGUAGUC